UCCGCAGGCGGUUGGUCAAGUUUCUUCUGACAGUGCCCGGCUUAACUGGGCAAGGCGAAGGAAAACUGGUCAACUUGAGGGCUUCAGAGGGACACGGAAUUCCGGGUGGAGUGGUGAAAUGCGUAGAGAUCCGGAGGAACACCAAAGGCGAAGGCAGUGUCCUGGGGAGUACCUGACGCUCAGGGACGAAAGCUAGGGGAGCCAACG
rnacentral:rRNA from 1 species